CAGCCGCCGCGGGAAUACGUAGGUGGCAAGCGUUGUCCGGAAUUAUUGGGCGUAAAGCGCGCGCAGGCGGAUCAGUUAGUCUGUCUUAAAAGUUCGGGGCUUAACCCCGUGAUGGGAUGGAAACUGCUGAUCUAGAGUAUCGGAGAGGAAAGUGGAAUUCCUAGUGUAGCGGUGAAAUGCGUAGAUAUUAGGAAGAACACCAGUGGCGAAGGCGACUUUCUGGACGAAAACUGACGCUGAGGCGCGAAAGCCAGGGGAGCGAACGGGAUUAGAUACCCGUGUAGUCCCUGUCUCUUAUACA
rnacentral:rRNA from 1 species